rnacentral:rRNA from 1 species
UACGAAGGGUGCAAACGUUGCUCGGAAUCAUUGGGCGUAAAGCGCACGUAGGCGGCUUCGCAAGUCGGAUGUGAAAUACCUAGGCUCAACCAAGGACGUGCAUCCGAAACUGCGAGGCUUGAGUACAGAAGAGGAUCGCGGAAUUCCCGGUGUAGAGGUGAAAUUCGUAGAUAUCGGGAGGAACACCAGUGGCGAAGGCGGCGAUCUGGGCUGAUACUGACGCUGAGGUGCGAAAGCCAGGGGAGCAAACGGG